CAUUUGGUGGAUGGCUUGGCUUGAGGAGUGAUGAAGGGCGUGGCAAGCUACGAUAAGCGCUGGGUAGGAGCAUGCAACCUUUGAUCCAGCGAUACCCGAAUGAGAAUCUUGUCCGCAAGGACACUCCUUUACAUUAGUAGAGGAGGGCGAACCACCCGAAGUGAAGCAUCUGAGUAGGGUGAGGAAAAGAAAUCAACCGAGAUUCCCCUAUUAGCGGCGAGCGAAAAGGGAAGAGCCCAAACCGAAUUCCUUGUAGUAAUGCAAGGUAGAUGUGGUGUAUGCUGGUAGCUACUUUCAAUAGUAACGAUCCUUGACAAUUAGCUGAAUCAUUCUGAAAAGUGUAGGCGUAGAGGGUGAUACCCCCGUAAGCGGAAGUGUUGGGGAUAGUGCUACUAGCUAGAGUAACUGGCCUUGACAGUGGCUGGUGAAUGUGGGGGAAAAUAGCCUCCAAGGCUAAAUAUUUCUCAAGACCGAUAGCGUACUAGUACUGUGAAGGAAAGCUAAAAAGUACCCCGGAAGGGGGGUGAAAAGUGCCUGAAACCAAAUGGUUACAGACGUGCACUGCCCGCAAGGAGCUUUCGUCAGAUACUGUUCAGUUCAACGAUUGUGCUAGGCAUCCGCAAGGAUGUUGAUGUACUUUCAAUGACUUAGCAGUCUGACAUCCAAAGCUCUAGGGUGGUGCGUUCCGUCUAGAAACACGGGCCAGUGAGAUUAUCAUCAUGGCGAGCCUAAAUACCCGUGGUAUGAAGGCGAAGGGAAACCAAGUUCCCGCAGCAUAGCAAUAUGUGAGGGGAUGGGUCUGAAAGGGCCUUAGUCAUGGUGUUAAGGCUAGAAUCCGAGCGAUCUAGCCCUGAGCAAGGCGAAGCUGGACGAAAGUCCGGUGGAGGCCUGAAGCCGUUCUGACGUGCAAAUCGUUGGUGUGACUUGGGGUUAGGGGUCAAAAACCAAUCUAGCUCGGUGAUCGCUAGUUCCCACCGAAUUGGAUCGCAGUCCUACCUGGGCAGAGGUUGCUAGCGCUGUAGAGCACCGAUAGGAUGGCAAGGAUCCGAAAGGAUUCACCAUCUCUUCGAACUCCGAAGGUACUAGCGCCUAAGAAGCCUGGAGGCGGGUUUAUGUGGCGUAAGGCUCAUAACCGCGAGGGGGUUAACCCAGACUGGAGUUAAGGCCCCCAAAUGUUGGCUAAGUGUCAAGCCGAAGGGCGUUUUCGACCAAAGACAGCAGGAAGGUAGGCUCAGAAGCAGCCACCCUUCAAAGAGUGCGUAACAGCUCAUCUGCCGAGGUCGAAAGCCCCGAAAAUGGACGGGGCUAAAGCCAACUGCCGAUACUCCAGACCUUUCCGAUAGGAAAGCGUGGUAGGUGGGCGUGGAGGUUGGAACGAAGCUGGGUCGUGAGAUCCAGUGGACCGUUCUCCAUUGUAGAUACUGGCGGUAGUAACAGCAUAGCCGAGUGGGAAACUCGGCCACCGAAAGGGUAAGGAUUUCCCGGCAAUGCGUUGUCAGCCGGGAGUUAGUCGAUCCUAAGAGCAUCCUCAACAGAGUUGCCCGAAUGGGAAACUGGUUAACAUUCCAGUACCUUGAUAGUGUCGUUAUCAUCCAUUUCUGUCGCUUCAAGAUAGGGUAGGUAGAACCAUCGUUUUGCUUAACUUAUCGAGACUUGGGGAGUGCCGUAAUGGCGAGAACCUUGUCGAGAAAGGAAUAGCCUUGCGUUAGUAGGGUCUUCUCGAUUCUUGGAGACAUUGAAAGCAGAUCUGGAGAGAGAUUAUCAAGUUCGUACCCAGAUCCGACACUGGUGCCCUGGUUUAGAAGACUAAGGUGUAUCGGGAAUACCGUAGGCGAGGGAACUCGGCAAAUUAGCCCUGUACCUUUGGUAUAAAGGGUGCCUGCAGUUUUUACGAGGAGUAGGAGCUGCAGGUCGCAGUGACUCGGGGGUCCCGACUGUUUAAUAAAAACACAGGUGACCGCAAGUCCGAAAGGAUUAGUAUGGUCUCUGAAUCCUGGCCAGUGGCGGUACCUAAAACUUGGGUUCAACCGAGCUAAGGGCCGUUUAACGCCGGGAGUAACUCUGACUCUCUUAAGGUAGCCAAAUGCCUUGUCGGGUAAGUUCCGACGUGCAUGAAUGGAUCAACGAGGGCCCCGCUGUCCCCGCCUACAGCCCGGUGAAGCCACAUAACGUGGACGAACAGUCCAGGAACUUCCAUCGGGGAGAGAAGACCCUGUGGAGCUUUACUGCAGCCUGUUGUUGUGAUACGGUUAUGGAUGCAGAGUGUAGCUGGGAGCCAUCGAAGUCAUCCCUCCGGGGAUGGUGGAGGCAAAAUUGUAACACCAGCCAUCUGUCGCUGUAUUGCUUACCUUGCGAAAGGGACACCAGCAGGUGGGCAGUUCGGCUGGGGCGGCACCCCCUUGAAAACAUAUCGAGGGGGCCCAAAGGUCGGCUCAGGCGGGUUAGAACUCCGCCGGUGAGGGUAAGGCCAAAAGCCGGCCUGACUGGAUCUUUAAAAGCAGGAGAUUCAGGGGCGAAAGCCUGGCCUAGCGAUCCAUCAUGUCCCCACUAUUGGGGGCUGGUGGUGUCAGAAAAGUUACCCUAGGGAUAACAGGCUCGUCGCGGGCGAGAGCUCCCAUCGACCCCGCGGUUUGGUACCUCGAUGUCGGCUCUUCCUAUCCUGGUCCUGCAGCAGGGGCCAAGGGUGAGGCUGCUCGCCUAUNAAAAGGGAACNUGAGCUGGGUUUAGACCGUCGUGAGACAGGUCGGUCUCUGCCUGAUGGAAGCGUGGUUGCUUGAGGGGAAGCUGCCCCUAGUACGAGAGGAACAGGGCAGCGUAGCCUCUGGUGUAUCGGUUGUCCGAUAGGGCAAGCCGAGCAGCUAAGCUAUUGAGUAUAACCGCUGAACGCAUCUAAGUGGGAAGCCUCUCCCGAGAAAAGGCAACCAUCCUUAUGGAUAAGGGCUGCCAAAGAAGAUGGCGUUGAUAGGGUGGAGGUGUAAGCUGCA
rnacentral:rRNA from 1 species